rnacentral:rRNA from 1 species
AUUGAACGCUGGCGGCAUGCCUUACACAUGCAAAUCGAACGGUAACGGGCCUUCGGGUGCCGACGAGUGGCGAACGGGUGAGUAAUACAUCGGAACGUGCCCGAUCGCGGGGGAUAACGAGGCGAAAGCUUUGCUAAUACCGCAUACGAUCUACGGAUGAAAGCCGGGGACCGCAAUGCCUUGCGCGGACGGAGCGGCCGAUGGCAGAUUAGGUAGUUGGUGGGAUAAAAGCUUACCAAGCCGACGAUCUGUAGCUGGUCUGAGAGGAUGAUCAGCCACACUGGGACUGAGACACGGCCCAGACUCCUACGGGAGGCAGCAGUGGGGAAUUUUGGACAAUGGGCGCAAGCCUGAUCCAGCCAUGCCGCGUGCAGGAUGAAGGCCUUCGGGUUGUAAACUGAUUUUGUACGGAACGAAAAGCCUUCUUUUAAUACAGGAGGGUCAUGACGGUACCGUAAGAAUAAGCACCGGCUAACUACGUG